rnacentral:tRNA from 1 species
GGGAUUGUGGCUCAGUGGUAGAGUGCUCACCUAGCACGUGAGGGGCCCUGGGUUCUAUCCUCAGCACCA